AGGGAAACCGAGUCUUAACUGGGCGUUAAGUUGCAGGGUAUAGACCCGAAACCCGGUGAUCUAGCCAUGGGCAGGUUGAAGGUUGGGUAACACUAACUGGAGGACCGAACCGACUAAUGUUGAAAAAUUAGCGGAUGACUUGUGGCUGGGGGUGAAAGGCCAAUCAAACCGGGAGAUAGCUGGUUCUCCCCGAAAGCUAUUUAGGUAGCGCCUCGUGAAUUCAUCUUCGGGGGUAGAGCACUGUUUCGGCUAGGGGGUCAUCCCGACUUACCAACCCGAUGCAAACUACGAAUACCGAAGAAUGUUAUCACGGGAGACACACGGCGGGUGCUAACGUCCGUCGUGAAGAGGGAAACAACCCAGACCGCCAGCUAAGGUCCCAAAGUCAUGGUUAAGUGGGAAACGAUGUGGGAAGGCACAGACAGCCAGGAUGUUGGCUUAGAAGCAGCCAUCAUUUAAAGAAAGCGUAAUAGCUCACUGGUCGAGUCGGCCUGCGCGGAAGAUGUAACGGGGCUAAACCAUGCACCGAAGCUGCGGCAGCGACACUAUGUGUUGUUGGGUAGGGGAGCGUUCUGUAAGCCUGCGAAGGUGUGCUGUGAGGCAUGCUGGAGGUAUCAGAAGUGCGAAUGCUGACAUAAGUAACGAUAAAGCGGGUGAAAAGCCCGCUCGCCGGAAGACCAAGGGUUCCUGUCCAACGUUAAUCGGGGCAGGGUGAGUCGACCCCUAAGGCGAGGCCGAAAGGCGUAGUCGAUGGGAAACAGGUUAAUAUUCCUGUACUUGGUGUUACUGCGAAGGGGGGACGGAGAAGGCUAUGUUAGCCGGGCGACGGUUGUCCCGGUUUAAGCAUGUAGGCUGGUUAUCCAGGCAAAUCCGGAUAAUCAAGGCUGAGGUGUGAUGACGAGGCACUACGGUGCUGAAGUAACAAAUGCCCUGCUUCCAGGAAAAGCCUCUAAGCAUCAGGUAACAUCAAAUCGUACCCCAAACCGACACAGGUGGUCAGGUAGAGAAUACCAAGGCGCUUGAGAGAACUCGGGUGAAGGAACUAGGCAAAAUGGUGCCGUAACUUCGGGAGAAGGCACGCUGGUGUGUAGGUGAAGUCCCUGCGGAUGGAGCUGAGACCAGUCGAAGAUACCAGCUGGCUGCAACUGUUUAUUAAAAACACAGCACUGUGCAAACACGAAAGUGGACGUAUACGGUGUGACGCCUGCCCGGUGCCGGAAGGUUAAUUGAUGGGGUUAUCCGUAAGGAGAAGCUCUUGAUCGAAGCCCCGGUAAACGGCGGCCGUAACUAUAACGGUCCUAAGGUAGCGAAAUUCCUUGUCGGGUAAGUUCCGACCUGCACGAAUGGCGUAAUGAUGGCCAGGCUGUCUCCACCCGAGACUCAGUGAAAUUGAACUCGCUGUGAAGAUGCAGUGUACCCGCGGCAAGACGGAAAGACCCCGUGAACCUUUACUAUAGCUUGACACUGAACAUUGAGCCUUGAUGUGUAGGAUAGGUGGGAGGCUUUGAAGCGUGGACGCCAGUCUGCGUGGAGCCAACCUUGAAAUACCACCCUUUAAUGUUUGAUGUUCUAACGUUGGCCCCUUACCGGGGUUGCGGACAGUGUCUGGUGGGUAGUUUGACUGGGGCGGUCUCCUCCCAAAGCGUAACGGAGGAGCACGAAGGUUAGCUAAUCCUGGUCGGACAUCAGGAGGUUAGUGCAAUGGCAUAAGCUAGCUUGACUGCGAGCGUGACGGCGCGAGCAGGUGCGAAAGCAGGUCAUAGUGAUCCGGUGGUUCUGAAUGGAAGGGCCAUCGCUCAACGGAUAAAAGGUACUCCGGGGAUAACAGGCUGAUACCGCCCAAGAGUUCAUAUCGACGGCGGUGUUUGGCACCUCGAUGUCGGCUCAUCACAUCCUGGGGCUGAAGUAGGUCCCAAGGGUAUGGCUGUUCGCCAUUUAAAGUGGUACGCGAGCUGGGUUUAGAACGUCGUGAGACAGUUCGGUCCCUAUC
rnacentral:rRNA from 1 species